ensembl:lncRNA
CAGGCUGCCUCGCUAAACGAUGCACACCUGUAACUCACGUGACCCUGGUUAUUAUUGAAACAAGAACGAGGGCGUCGUGCCUUUAUAAGACUGCGUUAAUAGUUCCGUAGAGUUAUCCCUUCCGUUGUUGUUUAUUGAUUGUUAAACAUGGCGUCAUUUGCAAAGGUGGUUGUGUGUGUCCUCAUUGCUUGUGACUGUAAUGCAUUCGGUUUUCCGAAGAGAGAUGUGAACUUAAAGGCCUCUGCAGUUGACCGCCAAAGUGAUGAUGUGGUUGUCACCACAACACCCGUUCCCCACAACCAGACCACCUCUGCCCCUACUGAAGCUGGUGGUGGUGCAAGUGAAGAUGCUGUGGCUACUACCCCAGCACCUAAUCCACACAACCAGACAACUUCUGCACAAACUGAAGUUACUGAUGGGGCCAGUGAAGAUGCUGUGGACCGCCAAAGUGAUGUGGUUGUCGCCACAACACCCAAUCCCCACAACCAGACCACAUCUGCCCCUACUGAAGCUGAUGGAGCAAAUGAAGAUGAUGCAGAUGAAGAUGAUGAUUCAGCAAGUGAAGAUGCUGUGGCUACCACCCCAACACCAAAUCCCCCAACUACAUCUGACCACACUGCAGCUACCGAUGAUGCAAGUGAGGGUGCUGUGGCUGCCCAAACUGGAGCUACUGUAUCCCAUACGACUGAAGUCUGAUUCGACUGCUCCUCUGGUCACAAUGACCUGUCUGGACUUUUUGCCUCUACAUGUUGACUGCAAUAAAGGACAGAUUUGUAUUUUUUAAUCAAAUGUUGUCUUGCCUUUUUCAAAUUGAGGCCUUGUCCUGUUUUGGUAGUGGAGAUGACUAUGAAGCCUCUUUCCUAACGUAUUUCCUGUAGUGGUUUUACUAUAUGCUUCAUGCAACAAGGCCUUCAACGACUCUACAAUUUAAAAGCAUCUAGUUUUGUCUGAAUUUGUAAAAUGGUUGAACUGGUAGUGAUGCAC